rnacentral:rRNA from 1 species
CCUACGGGUGGCUUCAGUGAGGAAUAUUGGUCAAUGGGCGCGAGCCUGAACCAGCCAAGUAGCGUGAAGGAUGACUGCCCUACGGGUUGUAAACUUCUUUUAUAAAGGAAUAAAGUGAGGCACGUGUGCCUUUUUGUAUGUACUUUAUGAAUAAGGAUCGACUAACUCCGUGCCAGCAGCCGCGGUAAUACGGAGGAUCCGAGCGUUAUCCGGAUUUAUUGGGUUUAAAGGGAGCGUAGAUGGGUUGUUAAGUCAGUUGUGAAAGUUUGCGGCUCAACCGUAAAAUUGCAAUUGAUACUGGCAGUCUUGAGUACGGUAGAGGUAGGUGGAAUUCGUGGUGUAGCGGUGAAAUGCGUAGAGAUGAGGAAGAAUACCGAUGGCGAAGGCAGCUUACUAAACUGCCACUGACAUUGAUGCGCGAAAGUGUGGGUAGCAAACAGGAUUAGAUACCCUAGUAGUC